rnacentral:lncRNA from 1 species
AAGCAGCCUCAGCAGCCUUUUUCAAGGUUCUUGAACCAAGGAUCUUUACUGAGGGAAGAUCCUCGCUCCAGCAGGAUGCAGGACAGCCAGUGCUGCUGUGCCCCCUGGCCUGGGAUGCUGGGUCAGGCAGCGAGGGAUCCCCCUUGCCAUUAACAUCAGUACAUAUUUCCCCAAGAUGGAUGCAUGCGCAGAGAUUGUUACGAGGUCCUCAGGGGAUAAUCACUGCCCACUGGUUUCUCCAGGGCCAGACUACGAAUAUUCUUCAGAACAUUGGUGAGCUGUCCCGGCUUCAGUGAAACUGUCCAAAGUCCAAAAUGACUGUGUGCAAAGACAGAAUCUCUGGCAUUUGGGAGUUUCAGAAUUACCAGAAGAUAUUCCAUCUUGUCAGCCUU